UAACACCACAUGUGCUAUAGCUUGGACAAUGCCAUUCAGAAUUUAUGCUUGCCUUUACCGUGAUGGACUCAUGACUACUGCAUCAGCCAAGAGGAUUUUAGAGGAGAAGAAAACAAAGAAACUUUCCUACUGCAGCAUAUUAUGCAGAGAAAUACACUGAAGAGUGAGAUCUGCUGUAGCGUUAGGGUAAUGGUGGUCAGGUGAAUUAGACCAAAGGAGCCAUUUUGUCACCUCCUAACACCACUGAAGCUGAGUUUACAGUCCAGUGGAGAAGCUGUGUGAGCAAGGAUUCACAGAGCACAUGGUACCAGUCCCCAUGCAGAAAAUCAAGGCAAAGGACACUCUGACAACUGCAAUUUUAAAUAAAGUAAAAAACACAGAGAUUCUGCUAAAACAAAAUCAAGAAUACAGUCUUUGAUAAUUAUGUGCUCUUGGAGAAAGCACCAAGAUCAAAUCAGUGAGAUAAAGGAUAUUGAAGCAUAGGAAAAAAAUACCAUGGGCAUAAAGCAAGCUUCCAGGCAGACUUGACCUUUACAGAUGUACGCUGAACCUCCUGCUGGUUGCUGGACACAUUAGAAAUGACCCUCAGCUGAUUUCACAACAGCCAUCAGAUUGUGCUGAUGUUCUUGUGUUACAGUUUAACUAGUGACCUGAAGAGUGCCACACCAUCAAAUAUAAGAUUUCACCAGGGCUGUGAGGAAUUUCUUCCAGUUAAUUCCUCCAGAAAUGGAAGCAGUGGUUCAGGAUCUCAUGACCUACAUUGUGAACUUAACUCAUAUCGUUACUGAAAGCAGUUUGUAGAGAUUGUUUUUGUAUUUACUGUUCCAAACAAAGGACAUUCUUUGUUGUUUUCUUUCACUGGAACGUUUUCUUGGAAUAUUCAUUUGUAUAUUUUUACUUUCUUUUUGUUUGUAUGUCUGUAUGAGGCAUGGAAGAAAUUUCAAAACAAUGUAUGAUCCAGGCUUUUCCUUCCCAAUAUGACAUGCUAAGCUUCAAAAGACACUCAUGUAUGUGCACUUGAGACUCUAGACUCUAGUGCUAAGCUAGCAUUCUUUGAAAGUGGCCACAGAUACAGGGUUCCUGAGUUUU